rnacentral:rRNA from 2 species
UGCAGUCGACGCACAGCGAAAGGUGCUUGCACCUUUCAAGUGAGUGGCGAACGGGUGAGUAACACGUGGACAACCUGCCUCAAGGCUGGGGAUAACAUUUGGAAACAGAUGCUAAUACCGAAUAAAACUCAGUGUCGCAUGACACAAAGUUAAAAGGCGCUUUGGCGUCACCUAGAGAUGGAUCCGCGGUGCAUUAGUUAGUUGGUGGGGUAAAGGCCUACCAAGACAAUGAUGCAUAGCCGAGUUGAGAGACUGAUCGGCCACAUUGGGACUGAGACACGGCCCAAACUCCUACGGGAGGCUGCAGUAGGGAAUCUUCCACAAUGGGCGAAAGCCUGAUGGAGCAACGCCGCGUGUGUGAUGAAGGCUUUCGGGUCGUAAAGCACUGUUGUAUGGGAAGAACAGCUAGAAUAGGGAAUGAUUUUAGUUUGACGGUACCAUACCAGAAAGGGACGGCUAAAUACGUGCCAGCAGCCGCGGUAAUACGUAUGUCCCGAGCGUUAUCCGGAUUUAUUGGGCGUAAAGCGAGCGCAGACGGUUAAUUAAGUCUGAUGUGAAAGCCCGGAGCUCAACUCCGGAAUGGCAUUGGAAACUGGUUAACUUGAGUGCAGUAGAGGUAAGUGGAACUCCAUGUGUAGCGGUGGAAUGCGUAGAUAUAUGGAAGAACACCAGUGGCGAAGGCGGCUUACUGGACUGUAACUGACGUUGAGGCUCGAAAGUGUGGGUAGCA